rnacentral:rRNA from 1 species
UCCGGUUGAUCCCGCCGGAGGUUACUGCUAUCGAGGUUCGACUAAGCCAUGCGAGUCGAAUGUAGCAAUACAUGGCGCACUGCUCAGUAACACGUGGACAACCUACCCUCCGGACGGGUAUAAACCCGGGAAACUGGGUAUAAUCCCCGAUAGAUCUCGGUCGCUGGAAUGCCCCGAGAUCGAAAGCUCCGGCGCCAGAGGAUGGGUCUGCGGCCUAUCAGGUAGUAGUGGGUGUAGCGUACCUACUAGCCUACGACGGGUACGGGUUGUGAGAGCAAGAGCCCGGAGAUGGAUUCUGAGACACGAAUCCAGGCCCUACGGGGUGCAGCAGGCGCGAAAACUUUACAAUGCCGGCAACGGCGAUAAGGGGACCUCGAGUGCCAGGUUACAAAUCUGGCUGUCGUGAUGCCUAAAAAGCAUUGCAUAGCAAGGGCCGGGCAAGACCGGUGCCAGCCGCCGCGGUAACACCGGCGGCUCGAGUGGUAACCGUUAUUAUUGGGUCUAAAGGGUCUGUAGCCGGCCGGAUAAGUCUCUUGAGAAAUCCAGCAGCUCAACUGUUGGGCUUUCAGGAGAUACUGUUCGGCUCGAGGCCGGGAGAGGUGAGAGGUACUUCAGGGGUAGGGGUGAAAUCUUGUAAUCCUUGAAGGACCACCAGUGGCGAAGGCGUCUCACCAGAACGGACCUGACGGCAAGGGACGAAAGCUAGGAGCACGAACCGGAUUAGAUACCCGGGUAGUCCUAGCCGUAAACGAUACUCGCUAGGUGUCGGCCACGGUGCGACCGUUGUCGGUGCCGUAGGGAAGCCGUGAAGCGAGCCACCUGGGAAGUACGGCCGCAAGGCUGAAACUUAAAGGAAUUGGCGGGGGAGCACCACAACGGGUGGAGCUUGCGGUUUAAUUGGAUUCAACGCCGGG